rnacentral:misc_RNA from 1 species
ACUACAUGGAAGCCCUUAACAAGCUUCACAUGACUGUUUCCCGAGCUUAUAAAGUCAACACAGAAAUACGUUUUGAAGUCUUUAUCCACAAAGUUGAUGGCUUGUCAGAUGACCACAAGAUUGAGACACAGAGGGACAUAAACCAAAGGGCAAGUGAUGACUUGUUGGAUAGUGGAAUUGACAAUGUCCAUUUAAGUUUCUACCUGACCAGUAUUUAUGAUCAUUCAAUAUUUGAAGCCUUAAGCAAAGUCGUCCAGAAGCUAAUUCCACAGCUACCGACCUUAGAGAAUCUACUGAACAUCUUCAUAUCGAAUUCGGGAAUAGAGAAGGCUUUCCUGUUUGACAUUGUUAGUAAAAUAUACAUUGCUACAGACAGUUCACCUAUAGAUAUGCAAUCGUACGAGCUCUGCUGUGACAUGAUCGAUGUGGUGAUUGACAUUUCGUGUAUAUAUGGUUUACCAGAAGAGACUGACGAGACCACGUUUGAUGAACUGUCCUGUAGUACCAUCAAGUUAAACAACAGUACAGUUUUGUAUCUCCGGGAAAUAAACAAAUUCUUAGCUCUAGUUUGUAUUCUUCGAGAAGAAAACUUUUAUCGGCAAGGACUUAUAGAUUACAACUUUCACUGUCUUCGACAAGCAACUCAAGAUGCGUUUCAGGUCCAGCUCAAACUUCCAGUGAAAAUGGAUGGUAUGGGACAUAUCUUUACCUCUAUAGAGAGUACUGAAAGUAAUGGUUAUCCAGAUCUAUUGUGACAAUCUAUGCUGUAACACAUUAUAAAAAAACAAACUUUAUUUUAACUUUGUCUUUUGUAUCUUGCCAAUACCAUUUAUCAUCAAAAUUACUUUUCUGUAUGCUUUGAUAUAAUUUUUGGUUUCUCCGAACCGGGAGGAACAUUGUUUAUAUAAACACCAUCAUCAUUAAUAGUGUAAGAACCUUUGAGUCUUCUCUAUACGUAAAUAUUGUUUGAUUUGUUGAUUAUGUGUUGUUGUUUCAAUUUAGUAGAUAGCAGAAAAAGUCAGCUGUAGUAGAUGUUUGAAAGAUACUUAAGAAACAUUGUUAGGAAAGACAAUUUUUAAAUUUGUGUUCAGCAUCUACCUAUGUUUGGUAUGUGGGAAAAUAGAAUAAUAUCUUCCUAUCAUGAUCAGAUUGAUGUUGCACUAAAAGUCUUGAUAUUAGACUAAGAAACAGAGUAUCGGCUACAAAAAAUACUCCUAACAUUAAUCCUAUAAAUUGUCUUGGAAAAAUGUCUAAAAUUAUAUUAGUGUGAAAGUUAUUGUCCGGGAGGAUGUUUAUAAUUAUAUUAGUAUUGAAAGUUGUUGUCUGGGAGGAUGUUUAUAAUUAUAUUAGUGUGAAAGUUGUUGUCUGGAAGGAUGUUUAAAAUUGUUUUUGUAUGAAAGUUGUUAUCUGGGCAGGAUGUUUAAAAUUGUUUUUAUAUGAAAGUUGUUGUCUGGGCAGGAUAUUUAAAAUUAUUUUAGUAUAAUAGUUGAGAGUAAUAAAUAUGUUGUAAACAUGUUACUUAUCUUGGGAAUAAGAAUUGAUACGGGCUCACACUGUGAAGUUGAUUCGAUAUUUUGUGAUUUAUAUUCACUGUAUUUCAUUACUGUACUAUUCAAAAGCCCCAUUUUCAAUAAUUACUUUAUCCAGCAGUAGUUUAUAGAAUAAACUGUGUGUAUAUAGAUUGAUAGUGUUAAUUAUAUUUAACUUUUUAUUCCAAACAAACUACUAUCAAUAACUAGUUACAGUAACAUUUGAAUUAGUUACUCUAUUUGUAUGUUGUUCUGAUUUUAACUAUCUGAUGUUGGUCAUCUUCAUAAAGCAAUAAUAUAAAAUGAUAAAUAACUUUGAUAUGAGACUUAAUAAAUAUCCCUCUAGUAACUGAUGUAAGGAUAUUAUAAUAUGAUUUAAAGAAAUCAAAUGUACAAGUGAUAUAGCUGAGACAUCUGAUAUUGUCUGUUGUAUUACCGACCUAGACUAGAUAACCUUAUCAAAUGUACAAGUGAUAUAGCUGAGACAUCUGAUAUUGUAUGUUGUAUUACCUUAUCUAGUCUAGGUCAGGGUAUCAAAUGUACAAGUGAUAUAGCUGAAACAUCUGAUAUUGUCUGUUGUAUUACCUUAUCUAGUCUAGGUCAGGGGUAUCAAAUGUACAAGUGAUAUAGCUGAGACAUCUGAUAUUGUAUGUUGUAUUACCUUAUCUAGUCUAGGUCAUCAAAUGUACAAGUGAUAUAGCUGAGACAUCUGAUAUUGUAUGUUGUAUUACCUUAUCUAGUCUAGGUCAGGGGUAUCAAAUGUAUGUAACAUCCUAUAGAACGGAGCAUAUAACAUCUUCAAUAGAACAGCAGUUAACCUGCAACAUUGUUUGCAUCUUAUUUUAAGUUAUUUUUAAUUAGUGAUGUAUUUGUUGCGUGUUUUUUUUUUAAAGUAUACUGUGAAAUAGUAAUUGAAAGUUUUAAUUUGUAUUUGCUCUUAUCACAAACUAUGGACCGGGAAUUAUUAGGUAUUCAUGAAUUUGGACAUUUUUGGCACCCCUGGCCUCUGUUUUAGAGCUUGUAUGUACCUGUCUUUUUAGUAAUAGUUAGCUGUUGGCUUAUUGGUAAGUAGAAAGGCUUACAAUGCAAAAAAUUGAGUUUUGAUACCCGCACUGGGGACAGCACAGAUAGCUUUUGAUGUAUCUUUGUGCUUAACAACAAAAAAACAAAACUGUAAAACGUAUGUGAUCGAAUGUGCCAAAAACCUUAAUAGGUUACUGUUCAUUUCCCAAAGUAUCCUUAAUAGGUUACUGUUCAUUUCCCAAAGUAUCCUUAAUAGGUUACUGUUCAUUUCCCAAAGUAUCCUUAAUAGGUUACUGUUCAUUUCCCAAAGUAUCCUUAAUAGGUUACUGUUCAUUUCCCAAAGUAUCCUUAAUAGGUUACUGUUCAUUUCCCAAAGUAUCCUUAAUAGGUUACUGUUCAUUUCCCAAAGUAUCCUUAAUAGGUUACUGUUCAUUUCCCGAAGUAUCCUUAAUAGGUUACUGUUCAUUUCCCGAAGUAUCCCUAAUAGGUUACUGUUCAUUUCCCGAAGUAUCCCUAAUAGGUUACUGUUCAUUUCCCAAAGUAUCCCUAAUAGGUUACUGUUCAUUUCCCGAAGUAUCCUUGUUACUCAGGUCACAGAGAGAUUAAGUUGUUAGAAUGUUACAGGUUUGGAUGUAAAGUUAUAAAUCAAAGUUAAUAGAAAAGUCUUGUGUUGUAAUUCAUAAUAAUAUGCCAGUUUUUUUUUUGUGAUUCUGUUUACCAGCUGUUUUCUAUUGUCCAAGGUUCUUUGUACUUAUAGUAACAGCUAAUUGUAACUUUACUUAGUAUUGUUAAACAGUACAGUAUUUUUUUCCAUGAUCAUGGGUGAUAAUAAAAGUAACCUUUAACAUAAUUCUCUGUUGUUAAACUGUAUAGUUAUUUUGCAGUUAUGUGAAAAUAAAAACAGCUACUCUUAUACACUUGUUCA